rnacentral:rRNA from 1 species
AACGAUAAAGCGGGUGAAAAGCCCGCUCGCCGGAAGACCAAGGGUUCCUGUCCAACGUUAAUCGGGGCAGGGUGAGUCGACCCCUAAGGCGAGGCCGAAAGGCGUAGUCGAUGGGAAACAGGUUAAUAUUCCUGUACUUGGUGUUACUGCGAAGGGGGGACGGAGAAGGCUAUGUUAGCCGGGCGACGGUUGUCCCGGUUUAAGCAUGUAGGCUGGUUAUCCAGGCAAAUCCGGAUAAUCAAGGCUGAGGUGUGAUGACGAGGCACUACGGUGCUGAAGUAACAAAUGCCCUGCUUCCAGGAAAAGCCUCUAAGCAUCAGGU